CUCUGUGGCCAUAGCACCCUAAAUGUACCCAAUUUUGUCUGAUCUCAGAAGCUAAGCAGGGUUGGGCCUGGUUAGUACUUGGAUAGGAGGAAGAUCUUCAGAGGAGACUGCUCAGAGA
rnacentral:rRNA from 1 species